UGGAGAGCGGGGGCGGGGUCCGGGGUGGUGCCUGGGGGCGGGGCGGGGCGGGAGGCGGGGCCUACGGGCAGCGGCCAGCCGCGUGCUCUGCCAGCUCGGUCCCAGCCAGGUGUGAGCGCUAGGGGUGGCCGGGGGUGCCACCCACCCAGACUCCAUCAGGCUCCCAAGGUCACUCCAAAUGUCUUUAGAAUAUUUCACACAAAUGACUUUCUGUCAUAUAAACUAAGCAAGGCAUCUUGAGGAAAUGUUUUCUAAUCUGUAGCACAGAAGUUAAAACAAGUGCUCGCUAUGCAAAAGCAGCUUUCCCAAUUAGAUUACCAUUUCUAAACCCUACUGUGCCAAGCUUUGAACUAGACAUCCGGCUAGAUUACAGGAAAUGUAAGAAUAUGAACCAAGACAGGGAUUAGGUCCACCUUAUUCACUACUGUAUUCUGGCAGCAGAGCUAAUGCCUGACACGGUGCUCAAUAAUGACGGAAUGAGUGAAGGCAUGCCCCAUAAUAAAGGAGCUCCCCCUUUGUUGGGGAAGACUGUGAAGUACAUAAUUCAUUAUGUGGCCCUUCCUCUUGACCAGCCCAGUAUGAAUGAACUAGAAGAUGAGCCAGACUGCCAACUGCUCUAACAGAGGCACAGCAAUGGUGCUACCAGCACACACAGGAGUGGUCUGGCCGAAUCGGAAGAGGCUUCACAGAGCCUUUCUGCAGGACCCCUCUGCCGAGGGCAGGCACGCUGGACAGAGAGAAGACAUGGAGCUGGACGGGAGAGUGUGUUGACUGGAAAGAGCCAAGGGGAAACGAGCUGGAAACCAGGCUUGAGGAAGUGACACACGGACUCCAGGGGCAGCAGCAAGGAAACCUAGGAGAGCGAGUCUGAGCACAAGGCCAAGCCGAAAAGCAAGUGGGGUUAUGUUUUACUAACAUAUACAUGGGUAACAACAAACAAAACUACGACUCUUGGGCCAGAGUCCUGCGGUGAGGUGCCUGCCAUCUCAGGUUGCUAGAGAGCAGAGGCAAUCCUGCUCCAGAACCUCCCUGCUCCACCUCCUCUCUGCCUUGACCCCUCAUGACUGCUAAUAGCAACAAGCUUUCCAGUAAAUGUGGGGAAAACUCAUCUCUCUUCCCCUAUAAGGGGUGGGGGGGUGGGGGUACUAAGUAUGGAGAAAGGUCCAGCACACCGGCUCCAGCCAACCGGGAGCCUGAUUUCCUUAGCGAGAUUAAGAUCUGGACCCAAGGAGUGGUUUAACCCAACCCCCAGCACUUGGCCCAAGAUCUUCUGUCAGACAGUUUUCCUCCCUGCAACUCCCUAGAGCAAGGCUUCUUCAGGUCUCUUCCCCCAUUUGGCAGCUCAUGGAAAGCUACUUGAAAUAGUAACAGCUAGGUCUGAAUUAGUAAAGAAUUCCAGUUAUGGGUGGGCUCGAGCUAAGAAAGAGGCUCUGUGGGCCUCCUGGUUUAUUAGGGCCCUGAGAACAGACUCCAUCAACACUGGCCUCAUUCUUGGAGCUGAGCACUGAAUUCUGCCCUUCAAGGGGUAACUGAGGGAGGUAGGCCAAACUCUCCCUCCCUCUCCUCAUACCAGCAGCCUCCAUUCCUGCUGGGGAAAUUUAGCAGGUAGGUUCUCGAGUCUGAAGCCAGUCGCAUAGCAUCGUGGGGAAAGGAAAGGUAAUGAGAGUAAUAACAGCGUAAUGAUCAAGAGCCAGAGUGCGGGUAUAAAAUACCAGCUCUGUCUUUUGCUGGCUGUAUGGCCUUGAGCAAGUCACUUCACCUAUGAAAGGCUAAUACCAACUGGUUUGUUGAAGAUUAAAUAGGAGUAACAUCUGUAGAAGUGCUUGGCAUUGUGCCUCAUCCAUUUCGAAGGCUUCAUAAGAGGUAUCUAACAUUAUCCUUACAGCCUUAGAGAGAACAUGGGCUUUGCAGGCAGACAGACGGAGUUCGAAGCCUGCCUUGACCGUUUGCUGACUAGCCUGGGGUAAAUUACUUAAGUUUUUUGAGUUUCAUGUUCCUCAGCUAUAAAACAAGGGAGAUAAAUUACAGGAAGAACAUCCUCUGGUCUUUCUGCCCCUUCCCAAUGUACACUCAACACUGAAAACACACUAGAAAAAGAGAAAGCAGUUAAGGUAUGUGGGUGCUCAGUUGGUUAAGCAUCUGACUCUUGACUUUGGCUCAGGUUAUGAUCUCACGAUUGUGAGACUGAACCCUGUGUUGAGCCCACGUCAAGCCUGCUCAAGAUUCUCUCCCUCUCCCUCUGCCUCUGCCCACUCCCCACGCCAAUCCCACAGUGCGUGCUCUCGCUCUCAAAAAAAAAGGGGGGGGGUGGAGAAAAUUGUCCCAGGGCUUUGUCUGUCCACAGGCUGUCACGGAAGCUGAGUGAAAGAUGUGCACUGGGAGGGAGACAGUCAUGGCCUGGCGUUCCAGUGAAAGUGGAAACAAAACAACUGUUUAUUUUUCCUUGAAUGCACUACUGGCUGAAAUGGCCAGGCAGAGUUUUACAGAACUUCAUUCCAUUAAACAAACAUCCCGGCUAAAAUGGACAAAAGCCCUAGUCUUGUCACAGGAGAGCCCUUCGCGGCCAAGUGAGCCCCCGGGGUCUCCCUUUUCCCACCCCAUCACUUCACCUCUUUGCAAUCAAGUUCAAACUCAAUCUCAACAGAGUGUCACUGCAAAUUGUUUAUUAAAACACAAAGCAAUGGACAGUGAAAAACAUCCUGAUUUUUUUACUUUUUGGUGGGAGUAGGGCGGGGCAUGUAAAGGGUAGGGACAGAUGGAGACAGCCCAGAAGGAAAGACAGCUCUAUCCACCCCUACUGCUUUCCCGGGCCAGCCAGGUUCAAAGCCCCUCACUGUGCUGCUGUAAAUGCAUGUUGUGGCUACAGACAAAGAGUUGGUUUGACUUCCGCAGGGAGAGGAUGGGAAUCUAGGAGCUACCAGGGCUACUACGAACUUGACACUAUUCUCCAGAACUUGGUACAGAAUAGAGCAGCCAGGCCCAAUCUGGAGGGGCGGGGUGGGUUUCCUGACAAGCCAGGUUAGGCCGAUAACGGUUGAAGAGGCUGCUCUGAGCUCAGAAUGGGCAGCUGGUCCUAGCGUGUGAGAACAUGGUGGAAGGAAAAUCCAAGGAGGGGACUAAUCCAGGGUCAAAUUUCUUUUCAUUCCCUGGAUCAUGACACACCAGGGAAGAGAAGAGUCAAGAACGCCUCAUUCCUGGUUUGCCGUGAAGAUCUCCCUGCCAAUUCUCCCCUCCCACCUGGCAACUCAGCUCUCCUUUCCCGACAGUUGUCCUUUGAAAGGACGGAAAGCACACUUCAGUUUGUUGUUGUUUUCCCUCAUAGUGAAAUAAAGCACUGAAGCUCAAAAUAGAGGUGAGAAUGAAGUUCUGCUUCUCCUGGUGCUAUGUGCCCCCAUCUCACAAGCCUGCAUGGAUGUGAGAGGUGCCAGGGCCCUCCCUGCCAACUCUAACAGGACUACUGUUUCCCUGGCUGCCAGCACAAUCCUGGCUCCUUGUUUUUAUACUCCUGGGGGGACGGGGGAGGUGGGAGGGGACCGUCCCAAGAGAUCCAUCCUGCUCUUUUCCUGCCAACCCAGCCAGUCCCCACAUCACCUGCUCUUAUCAGAAUGAUCUGGCAACCGAAGGCAGGCUAGCCAAAAGGCAGCUGGGGAAGGACAAACUAGAUCGGCAGCAAGCCACCCUUGUACAAAGAAACCCGCCCUAGCUGGGCAGCUGA